GUGUUGUGAGCUCGAUGAGUAGGGCGGGACACGUGGUAUCCUGUCUGAAUAUGGGGGGACCAUCCUCCAAGGCUAAAUACUCCUGACUGACCGAUAGUGAACCAGUACCGUGAGGGAAAGGCGAAAAGAACCCCGGCGAGGGGAGUGAAAAAGAACCUGAAACCGUGUACGUACAAGCAGUGGGAGCACCCUUCGGGGUGUGACUGCGUACCUUUUGUAUAAUGGGUCAGCGACUUAUAUUCUGUAGCAAGGUUAACCGAAUAGGGGAGCCGGAGGGAAACCGAGUCUUAAUUGGGCGUUAAGUUGCAGGGUAUAGACCCGAAACCCGGUGAUCUAGCCAUGGGCAGGUUGAAGGUUGGGUAACACUAACUGGAGGACCGAACCGACUAAUGUUGAAAAAUUAGCGGAUGACCUGUGGCUGGGGGUGAAAGGCCAAUCAAACCGGGAGAUAGCUGGUUCUCCCCGAAAGCUAUUUAGGUAGCGCCUCGUGAAUUCAUCUCCGGGGGUAGAGCACUGUUUCGGCUAGGGGGCCAUCCCGGCUUACCAACCCGAUGCAAACUGCGAAUACCGGAGAAUGUUAUCACGGGAGACACACGGCGGGUGCUAACGUCCGUCGUGAAGAGGGAAACAACCCAGACCGCCAGCUAAGGUCCCAAAGUCAUGGUUAAGUGGGAAACGAUGUGGGAAGGCCCAGACAGCCAGGAUGUUGGCUUAGAAGCAGCCAUCAUUUAAAGAAAGCGUAAUAGCUCACUGGUCGAGUCGGCCUGCGCGGAAGAUGUAACGGGGCUAAACCAUGCACCGAAGCUGCGGCAGCGACACUGUGUGUUGUUGGGUAGGGGAGCGUUCUGUAAGCCUGUGAAGGUGUGUCGUGAGGCAUGCUGGAGGUAUCAGAAGUGCGAAUGCUGACAUAAGUAACGAUAAAGCGGGUGAAAAGCCCGCUCGCCGGAAGACCAAGGGUUCCUGUCCAACGUUAAUCGGGGCAGGGUGAGUCGACCCCUAAGGCGAGGCCGAAAGGCGUAGUCGAUGGGAAACGGGUUAAUAUUCCCGUACUUGGUGUUACUGCGAAGGGGGGACGGAGAAGGCUAUGUUGGCCGGGCGACGGUUGUCCCGGUUUAAGCGUGUAGGUGUGUGUUCCAGGUAAAUCCGGUUCACUUUAACACUGAGGCGUGACGACGAGGCACUACGGUGCUGAAGCAACAAAUGCCCUGCUUCCAGGAAAAGCCUCUAAGCAUCAGGUAACAUCAAAUCGUACCCCAAACCGACACAGGUGGUCAGGUAGAGAAUACCAAGGCGCUUGAGAGAACUCGGGUGAAGGAACUAGGCAAAAUGGUGCCGUAACUUCGGGAGAAGGCACGCUGACACGUAGGUGAAGUGAUUUACUCAUGGAGCUGAAGUCAGUCGAAGAUACCAGCUGGCUGCAACUGUUUAUUAAAAACACAGCACUGUGCAAACACGAAAGUGGACGUAUACGGUGUGACGCCUGCCCGGUGCCGGAAGGUUAAUUGAUGGGGUCAGCGCAAGCGAAGCUCCUGAUCGAAGCCCCGGUAAACGGCGGCCGUAACUAUAACGGUCCUAAGGUAGCGAAAUUCCUUGUCGGGUAAGUUCCGACCUGCACGAAUGGCGUAAUGAUGGCCAGGCUGUCUCCACCCGAGACUCAGUGAAAUUGAACUCGCUGUGAAGAUGCAGUGUACCCGCGGCAAGACGGAAAGACCCCGUGAACCUUUACUAUAGCUUGACACUGAACAUUGAGCCUUGAUGUGUAG
rnacentral:rRNA from 1 species